AAUUUAAUUUUAUAUUAUUAAAAUAAAAAAAUUAAUUAAAUAAUUUUUUAUUUUAAUAAUAUUAUAUUUUAAAGGGAUAAGCCUUUAAAUUUAAAUUUAUAUAAAUUUAUUUUAAUUUAAUUAAAAUUUUUAUAAUUUAUAUUGUUAAUAAAUUUUAAUUUAUUAUAAAUAAUUUUAUUUAAAAUAAAAUUUAAUUUAAUUUUAUAUAUUUAUAAAAAAAAAUUUUUGAAUUUUAUAAAAUUUGAUAUAAUGAUAAAAUUAGUAUAUAAUAAAUUAUAUUAGGAUUAAAAAAUUAUUUAAGUUAAUUAAAAGGAAUUCGGCAAAUAUAUAUAUUCCCUUGUUUAUCAAAAACAUGUUUUUUUGAAAUUAAUAUAAAGUUUAAUUUGCCCCCUGAUUUAUAUUAAAGGGCUGCAGUAUUUUGACUGUACAAAGGUAGCAUAAUCAUUAGUCAUUUAAUUGAUGACUUGUAUGAAAGAUUGGAUGAAAUAUAUACUGUUUUUUAAUUAUUUAUAGAAUUUAAUUUUUUAAUUAAAAAGUUAAAAUGUAUUAAAAAGACGAGAAGACCCUAUAGAGUUUUAUAUUUAAAUUAAUUAAGAUUAUUUAUAAAUUUAUUAAUUAAAAUUGUUUUAAAUAUUUUGUUGGGGGGACAAAAAAAUAUAAAUAACUUUUUUUAAAAUUUAACAUAUAUAAGUGAUUAAAUGAUCCAAUAUUAUUGAUUAUAAGAAAAAAUUACCUUAGGGAUAACAGCGUAAUUUUUUUUUUUAGUUCAAAUAAAAAAAAGAAGUUUGCGA
rnacentral:rRNA from 1 species